rnacentral:lncRNA from 1 species
AAACCUAUGAAAAGUCUAGAGAGAUAUAUAGAAUAAUAGGUAGUUUUGUUUUUGAUACUGACUAUAUCAUGUGGAAUAUCUGGACGAGCCUGUUAGGGCGAGUUAAGAUAUUCCACAUGAUAUAGUCAGUAUCAAGAACGAAACUACCUACUAUUCCGUUUAUCGGUAAUUAUGACGUCACGUAAUGUAUUGCCUAAUAUUUUCAGUGAGACAGCAAGUACUUUGAUACUCGAAAAUAUUAGGCAGUAAUAUCAAAGGGAAAUUCUAAUGCAACAAUGUUUGAAACUUUCAUUUUGAUUGGAUAACGUCACUUAUUUCCAUGGCAUCAAUCAAUAGUGAUGCUAUGAGAUAACAAUAUUGUAUUAAAGCUCAGACGGCAUCAAUUGGGGAUUUGAUGGUCACAAAUACAAGUUUACUGCCUCUGCUAACGCGUCGCUAGUAAACUUUAUUUGCAACCAUCAAAUCUCCAAUUGUUGCUGUCGGAGCUUAAAAUACAAUACAGUUAUCUCCUAAAUAUACGAAUUACCGAUAAAUCAUUUUCCCACCAAAAUCCUAUGGCUGAUAUCUCAAAUACUAGCACAUUUACUCCUAUAUUUGUUUUGAUUUUAGAUUCCUUAAUUAAUCCCUAUCAAUAUAUAUUAGUGUUAUGGAAAGAUAUUUAUUUUGAAAAUUAGCAACCAAC